rnacentral:rRNA from 1 species
UGGGGAAUUUUGGACAAUGGGCGAAAGCCUGAUCCAGCAAUGCCGCGUGUGUGAAGAAGGCCUUCGGGUUGUAAAGCACUUUUGUCCGGAAAGAAAUCCUUGGCUCUAAUACAGUCGGGGGAUGACGGUACCGGAAGAAUAAGCACCGGCUAACUACGUGCCAGCAGCCGCGGUAAUACGUAGGGUGCAAGCGUUAAUCGGAAUUACUGGGCGUAAAGCGUGCGCAGGCGGUUUGCUAAGACCGAUGUGAAAUCCCCGGGCUCAACCUGGGAACUGCAUUGGUGACUGGCAGGCUAGAGUAUGGCAGAGGGGGGUAGAAUUCCACGUGUAGCAGUGAAAUGCGUAGAGAUGUGGAGGAAUACCGAUGGCGAAGGCAGCCCCCUGGGCCAAUACUGACGCUCAUGCACGAAAGCGUGGGGAGCAAACAGGAUUAGAUACCCUGGUAGUCCACGCCCUAAACGAUGUCAACUAGUUGUUGGGAUUCAUUCCUUAGUAACGUAGCUAACGCGUGAAGUUGACCGCCUGGGGAGUACGGUCGCAAGAUUAAAACUCAAAGGAAUUGACGGGGUCAUAGCUGUUUCCU